GACGCCUCACUGAUGUGACUUGAAUGAAAACAGUCCCAGGACCAGCAGACUUGAUUAGAGAGAUGUGCAAACAAAAGAUCUUCUUGGUCCUCCUCCCAGAACUUAGGACUGCUGAGAGCUUGGGAAGAGGAUGCCACUGUUUCUGUCAGUGUGUGAAGAAAUCAUGUUCCUCCCCACUGGAGAAUGCAGCAACAAGGUACCAUCUUGAAAGCAGAGUGCAGCCUUCACCAGACACCAAACCUGCUGGCACCUUGAUCUUGGAAUUCCCAGCCUCCAGAACUGUGAGAAAAGUACUUCUCGUUCUUUAUAAAUUACCCAGCCUGUGGGAUUUUGUUACAUCAGCAGGAAAAGACUCAGGCAGUAAGUAACUCCCUGAUUUCUGAAGAUGUGGAAUGCCUUCUGAGUCAUCUAAAAAUGAUUAGUUUAUGUGCAAUGCAGUUUAAAUAUUUGGAUUCCUUGAAAGCAUAGACAUUGGUGUAUGACAUGGUAGCUAACUAGAACUUGUCCUUUUCCCAAAUGCAUUUAGUUCAGGGUAAACAAAAGAUGUAUGGGGGAGGUGAGUGUUUGUUCUGGCAGAAGUAGAAUGUCUAGAUUUGCCUCUAAUUUCUUUAGUUUUGAUUUAUCUUAGAUGUUCAGAGUAUCCUUUAUAUCAUGAAGGUUACAUUGGCUUCCCAGGGCUGCCAUGACAAAUUACCACAAACCUGGCAGCUUCAAGCAACCGAAAUGUAUUCUCUCCCAGCUCUGGAAGCCAGAAGUCCAAAAUCAAGGUGUUGGCAGGGUUGGCUCCUUCUGCGGGCUCUGCAGGAGAAGCCGCUCCGUGCCACUCUCCUGGCUUCUGGUGGUUGCCAGCCCCUCUUGUCAUUCCUUGGCUUGUAGACAUAACACUCUAAUCUCUACCUAGUUUCACUAGCUUUCCCUCUGUGUCUCUCUGUGUCUGUUUCUCCCUUUCUGUCUCUUAGAAAGAAACCAGUCGUUAGAUUUAGGAUUCACCCUAAACACAGAAUGAUCUCAUCUUG
rnacentral:lncRNA from 1 species